UAGUGAGAAGCAUAUAAAUGUAGUUAGUUUCGACCUAAAAGAAGAUAAAAAAUUAUCCUUACUUU
rnacentral:tRNA from 1 species